AAUGAACGCUAGCGGUAGGCCUAACACAUGCAAGUUGAACGCAUACUUUUACAGUAUAAGUAGCAAACGGGUGAGUAACGCGUGAGAAAUCUACCUUACAAUCUGGGAUAAAAUCCCGGAUUCUUUCUAAACUAGAUGUUCCGACAAAUAGUAUAGAAUAAAAGAUUAAAUGUCGUUGUAAGAUGUGCUCGCGUAGGAUUAGGUAGUUGGUGAGGUAAAAGCUACACCAAGCCGAAGAUCCUUAGCUGGUCUGAGAGGAUGAUCAGCCACACUGGGACUGAGACACGGCCCAGACGCUUUCGAGCGGCAGCAGUGAGGAAUUUUGGACAAUGGGCGAAAGCCUGAUCCAGCCAUAUCGCAUGAGUGAAGAAGGCUCAAUUGGUUGUAAAGCUCUGAUUUGAUUGAAGAUUAUGACAUCAGCUCAAAGAAUAGUCCCGGCUAACUUCGUG
rnacentral:rRNA from 1 species